UCUGUUCUUCUUCUUCGAACGAAGGGAAAAUUCACGGGUGAUGAGAAAACGGCGAAACCAGCACAGAAAAUUCAGAAACGGGCCUCUGCUAAAUCCCAAUCUAACUUCGAUUACUCAAUCAAGAAGAAGAAGGGUUACAGAUUUGAGAUCAGUGUUACUGAAUGUAGAGCUCAGGGAGAAUUGUUUCAGAAGAGUCGGAGAGGAUCGAACGGGUUUGCUGUGGAGAAUGAGACUAUUCGAUUGUCAAUCUCCAUAUGGGAAGGUUUUGUUUCGGAACUCAUGGUCUUUUUCCUUGACGUUUGCUUUGAAGAUUCUGCCUGGAAUCAGACCCUUUUGAUUGGCUCUAACGAACAUUUAGCAAGGCUCCACGGGCAUCUGAAGGAACUCCUCUUUAAGCCUUUUUAUCAGUGUGAUCAUCAUGGGAAUGGCGUCGUCUCGUAUCUCAGCGUUUUUCUAUUGCAUUUUGUACUCAUUUUACUGUCUAAUUCUCAGGAUUUUAUCCAAGAAUGGAUGGGCCUUUCUGUUCCAUAUUGUAGAAUCUCAAGGAUGACUUCUCCUGCUAUCAUUGGCACCACCGAUUAGGGGUGGAUACCUAAAAUUUUCGAGUUAUUUGAACC